rnacentral:rRNA from 1 species
AUUGAACGCUGGCGGAAUGCUUUACACUUGCAAGUCGAACGGCAGCACGGACUUCGGUCUGGUGGCGAGUGGCGAACGGGUGAGUAAUGUAUCGGAACGUGCCCAGUCGUGGGGGAUAACGUAGUGAAAAUUACGCUAAUACCGCAUACGAUCUAUGGAUGAAAGCGGGGGAUCGCAAGACCUCGCGCGAUUGGAGCGGCCGAGAUCAGAUUAGGUAGUUGGUGGGGUAAAGGCCCACCAAGCCGACGAUCUGUAGCUGGUCUGAGAGGACGACCAGCCACACUGGAACUGAGACACGGUCCAGACUCCUACGGGAGGCAGCAGUGGGGAAUUUUGGACAAUGGGCGAAAGCCUGAUCCAGCCAUUCCGCGUGCAGGAUGAAGGCCCUCGGGUUGUAAACUGCUUUUGUACAGAACGAAAAGGUUUCUACUAAUACUAGGAGCUCAUGACGGUACUGUAAGAAUAAGCACCGGCUAACUACGUGCCAGCAGCCGCCGUAA